CAGAUCUCCGAUUUUUUUGGUCUGAGUUCUCUCUAGUGAUUGAUCUUACAAUGAAAAGAUGGUUCAUGUCUUCUUCCCUCUCUUGCAAUGUCUAUCAAGGUUGGUGAUGCGUUUGCGACAUAUUGGAAUGCUCCAAUAGAUCUGGUUUGGCAAGCAAUAUUCGUUACGAUUGUAUUUAUUUACUAGGUAUAAGAGAAGCGUAUCCUAUGCCCGGUCAUCAUCCUCGUGUUAAUAUCAUCUCUCUCUCUCUCUCUCUCAGCUCAUUGUUGUUGUUCUUCUUACUGCAACUCAUUCACGACAUGAUGCAACUGGAGCUUUGUCACAGCCAUUGGACGAGCAGGGAGGCACAACUAUCGUUGCUAAAAUUAGUGGUUAUUCCAGCAUGACUUGGUUACUUGCCUAUAAAAUACGACAAGAUUGAAGCAAAGCUUGUACAUGAUUAGCUUUGUUCAAUAGCUGAACGGUAUCUGUUCUCUUCUCUUUGCAUCACAGCAACAUUCAUGUUCUUUUUACAGUUUAUAAAAUUUGUGUUUAUGUGCAGAUCGGACACACAAUUUCUUUGACCUCAUAGUUAGUAUUUUCCCAAAAUAGUUUCUAUAUUUGGCAAGGUAAUUUCUUACUUAUGUGCUUAUAUGUAUUGCUGAAUGAAACACUGACAUGGAAACAUUUUGUUUUGAUGUGUGAAUUUAUGUGGUAGUGGCGGAAUAUUUUUGCUAGCAGUCCAUCUUGAUAUAUUUAAACGUGAGUUUGUGGUGCCUGCUAAUUAAUUAUUUGAUCUAGAAGUUAGUUGGCUACCAAUUGUUCUACACAGAUUUGUUUCAUACCAGGUUCUUUUGUUUAUGCCUACAUGGUUGCCUUUGAUGGUUUGCUAGGACAGUGUGUAGUGUGGUGCACUUAAGUUAGGUUCUGGCCAGAUUGAAUUUCUGGCUUGAUGCAGUGUGGUGUAGUACUUCGACAUGGACAAACUUGACACUAUCAAAGCCUAGGACAACUACAGAAAAAUAGGAAAUUGUUCUGUGAGAAUCAAUCAGCCUGCAUGGAGAAUUCUCGCUACAAACUUUGGCAGAGUAAUUUUCUCAUAAUGAAAAGCUUAUAUGGUUCUUCGAUCUAAAUAAUCUGAGAGCCCUUGAUUCUUUUUCAGGACAAGAGAGGUGGAUGUGUUCACUAGGAGGCUUUUAGAUAUUCCAUCAAAGAUGAUGCAACUAAAUAAGAAAGAAGUAUUGUACAUCUUACUUUAGGUUCCAUUCACCGGUAAAAUUAUAUAAGCUUGGUCUUCCUAUUGUUGAUGGUCCGAGCACUCUGUCUGCCCCAUCUACUAUGGUUUCGAGAGUUAAAACCAGGUUGCUUUCAUAUUUUGUUUCGAGAUUGUUUGAUCGUUUGGUCGACAUAAGAUCAAGAAUGGACCUAAGUAUUCCAAACUGGCAUCCUUCCCUAAACUCAAUUAACUAAUUGAGAAAUCUUCCCUGCCUAGGUCUGCCCUUAAUGAAUUGAUCCGUUGUCGGCUAUACCGAGAUCUGGGUCCUUGGUUUUUCCAAGGAAAACCUGAUUGAGCAUGUAACAUGAACAUGAACGGCAGUUCCGUAGGACACCCACACUUGAUGAAAUGGAUACCCCUUGCUCAUCUCAUUCAAGUUAUGAGCACACAGUAGGAUUUAUGCAUUUCACAUACUGUCAGCUGUUCUGUACUAAUUGUUGUGUCUUAAAUUUCCUGUUCCCAGGACAACUUUCAGAAUUAGCUGAUCCAGUUCGAGCUCCUGUGAUCAAACCAAAACAUUUGUUGUCGCAGGAGUAUUCCGGGUGAACUUCAAGAGUGCUGUGAUCCAAAAUGCAUUCCAGUGGGUCCUCAUAAUUAUCGGGGUGAUUGGUUCAUUCAUCUUCUACUUCUUCGUUUGGUACUUCAAGUACAAGAGGCUGAUGCCCCUGUAGAGUAUAAGCUCUUCAUAUAGCAGUCUCAACCUUCUAUUCCCUCUGUUAAGACUUGCUACCCUUGGAAUGCUGCGGAAACAAGCACACACGGAUUGCUACUGUGUUCUCUAUACAAUCAAUACUGAUUGCUGAUUUCUUUCUUGAUGAGAUGAGCAACCCACUUGGUUCAUCAAAACUGAUUUUGACGUUUCCAAGUUGUAUGUACCAAAGAAGACUGGAAGCCGUUGAUCCUUCUGGAUACUAUCCUAACCCUUGGUUCUCUGCAGUGUCAACUGAAUGUAGUAGUGUUUCCAGGGUCCUGACAGAUUAUUGCUUCCCUUCUCUGUUACCAUAGUAGUGUUCAUUAAAUAGAUAUAUUUCUACUCAUGGAAGAUCUGAGUAAACUAUGUGUUCUGUUCAUAUAUUUAGUUUACUAGUGCAGAUUGUUGGUUGCUCUUUGUCCCUUUCUUGCGAAACUCAUACCAGCUCAUUUUUUAGAUGGCAAAGUAGUUGGUAGUAGAUAGUUAAUGUCACCCUUCUGCUGCUAAACGCUUUUUGUAUUUUUAGGAAGCAUACGUGAUGUUCUUAUGAUUUUCUAUUUUCUAUCCUGGCAAUGACAUCGAUGAAGUUGGUUCAUAAUGGUGUUAUUCGUCGAUUUAUAGACCCUUCUAUAUUUUCAAUAAAGGUUGUAUAGAGAUUCAUAGCUAGCUGCAUAAGCAUAAUUCAGUAAGAAUUUAUCUAUUUUCCCUGGAACACUACUGUCCAGCAUAUACGUGUAUUUGCUGAUUCUAACAAAGAUGCAUGCUGAUGUUUGAAAAGUACAGUAUGUAUCUUUAAUCUUAGAACUGUUGCUGUGUAGCUUGAGUAGCUGGUCGAUUUAGGUUUGUGCAUCUUUGUAACUGAAACUAAUUUACAUCUGCAUCUUAUUAAGUUAGGCCAACUACCAUUUCUUUGAUUAUAUUGUAACCCCUGAUUUGCCACCCUCCUUUGUAAAAAUGGACUUUACCAACGUGUGAAUAUCCACAGAUAUGUCUACGAAAAUUGGAGUAUGUGGUUCAGAUUAAUACCAUUUCACUUCAGUUAGCUGAAAGACAGUACGAUGAGCAAGCUUUCUACCAUUUGAUUGUGUAAUUUUUCGUGUCAAUGAGGUGACCGAGCCAACACACUCAGGUUCUUUGUACUUCGUUAUUUACUCAGUUUUUUAAUGUAGUCAAGUUUUUACAUGUCAUAAAUCCUUUUAUAUCCAUUUUUCUGCAAGGAAUGUAUGUAUUUCCAUUGGACGCAUUUGGUUUUCUCUUGAUAACAUUCAAUCAUUAAUGAUUUGGCCAUUUUUUUGAUGUGAAAGCACAUGUUCAUUUCUUAUCUGUAACUAAACACUGCCUCCUGUAGAUUUUCGUGUUUGUAAUUUCUGGAAAUCUGUGUUAUCAUCAACUAUGCUAUUGGUGUGUAUAUUUUCAUGGUUUAAUCAGCAUGAGGAAUACCAGUCGAGGAAACAACAUGAUCCAGUGAUCUAUGCCUUUCGAACUCGGACACAACACUACCCAGUAGAGAAGUAGCAAAUUAAGAAGCGGUGAACAUGAUGCUAAAUAUUGUAGCCUGCAUAAUCUUUGUAAAAAAUAUAGUUAGCUUGAAAGAAACAACAAAGAAUAUAUGAUAUUAGCGUAACUGCUUCAGUGUGGGCAGGCUGAACUCUUUUGAAAUGCAGCACGAGAGUUCUUUGGGAUAUACCACCACUAUAUCUGAGAACAUCCGCUACUGAUGUCCUUGAUCAUAAGAUUAUCCCCAGAAAUGAAGGAUCAAUUGCUGUUUCUACUAUGCAGUCUAUUUGGAAGCUACACACAUGGUGAAUUGCAGUACCAACUGAGUUCCAAUUCGUUUCCGAAGGCGACCUAAACUGUCUGUGGUUUAAUAUCAAUUUGGAUGUCGCCUUACUGGAUCUGGUACAAUGUCAAGGGGUAAUUAUCUGGUGGCAAGCUGCAUGCAGUAUUCAGGUAUCACAAGGCAUGUUGUAGCUGAAACUCUUGCAUGUAGAGAUGCAGUUUUGCUAGCUAUGUGGAGGAACUAUCAACGAGGAACUACCCAAUAACAGUCCAGACAAGGAUGGGAGGCUGAAGGAGGCCAGGUCUUGCCUGAGAUGGAAAUGAUCGUCUCAAACGUUCAGGAUUUUGUUUAUCUUCUGUAUCAUGAAGGCUGAAGGAAACACCAUCAUUUGAAAAGCUUUGCAACCAUGCUACAAGUAUUAAAGCUUUCUUAGAUUGAUGGUUUAGGUUAACUUUAUUUAGUUAUUUAGGAUCAACUGCGAUGUUCAGUAUGUAUCCUGAAAUGUUAUACUUCCAUUACAAAUUGAUUUAUGGUGCUUUUGUGCU